rnacentral:hammerhead_ribozyme from 1 species
GCAUUACUGGAGAGUCCCACAAUAAGACGAAACGGCCGUCCAAUGC